GCAAAAGUCCACACGUGAUAUAUCGUCACACCCAAGAGAUAAUUAGACAUACUGAUUGAUUUUCUAAUGUCACUCUUGAAAUAAACUGAAUUAACGAGGAAACUGCACUAAGACUUGACAAAACUCGAUUUCCUAAAGUUUUCGAAGCUCACAAAAUAGAUAUAUCAACAUACUCAAAUAAACCGAAUACGUCAUUGAACUGAAUAAAAUAAAUUAAGACGAGACAAAACUAAAUUUCCCAACAUUUACGACGGCAAAAGUCCACACGUAAUAUAUCAUCACCCGAGAGAUAAUUAGACAUAUUGAUUGAUUUUCUAAUGUUACUCUUGAAAUAAACUGAAUUAACGAGGAACCUGAACUAAGACUUGACAAAACUCGAUUUCCUAAGGUUUUCGAAGCUCACAAAAUAGAUAUAUCAACAUACUCAAAUAAACCGAAUACGUAAUUGAACUGAAUAAAAUAAAUUAAGACGAGACAAGACUAAAUUUCCCAACAUUUACGACGGCAAAAGUCCACACG